rnacentral:other from 1 species
CUUUAAAUCCCACUACAUUCAGAUAAAAC